CUCAGACAAAACCGUUGGACCAUUAAAGGGUAAUUUAACGGUUGGCACCAAGUAAGCUAGGCUACAUGAGUUACCCUUGCAAUUAACCGUCAAAAUCAAAAGUUUUCGCAUGAGUCGUCCUCAUAGCUCCAACCCCGUGGAAUAUCGCCCCACACAGUCAAGCUUGCUAAUGUACCUGCUGCUACACCCCAUCCCAAUAUCCCUCUCUCUGUUCCUGCCGGGCGGUAGUCUCACCAGCCUGCGACCCCGGACAAGUUCCCUCAACCUGCCUGUGAACUCUGCUGCCUUCAACCUGCUUCAUCUGUGAUCCACCAGUCACGCCAUCCCCCCCUAACUGGGUACACACACAAACAACACACACACAAAAAAACUGAAGCUUAUUGAUGUGUGCUAUGGAGAAGA